AGAGUCCGACUUGAUCGCACUGCAUCCACUCACUGAAGAUUUAUUUUGCAAUGACUAUUUAUGAUUUACUCUGAUGUUUUGAGAAUACUUCUAUUCUAAUCGUCUUUUGGGAUAAUGUAUGAAUGGUUUUGACUUAUUUAAAAUGAAAACUUUACUCGAUAUUUUUGGGAUGUUACAAAAAUCAUCUAUCAAUAAAAUAUCUAAGGAUGAUGUGCAUAAUCAUGCCUUCGACUUUCCCAGAUCAUGUGAUGUACCUGAAUCCAGUCGGAAGACUAUGGGCCAGGGCAAUCCAGUCAGGAGACUGUGGCCCAACAUGUACAUCAGAUGAUCGGGGGCAAGGCGAAUGCGUGAUUGUGCACAUCAUCAUUAGAUAUUUUAUUGAUAGAUGAUUUUAGGAUACUCUGAUUUAUGAUUAUGGCUUUUUGGAAACAAUGUUUGUAUGAUUUAUGGAUUAUCAAUUGGGUUUGAAAAUGAAAAAUUUACUAUGAUUUUUGGGAUGUUA